UCCUAGCCCCGAUAGAAGCGGCAUCCUUUUGUGCCGGGGUUCGGCAUAAAAGAUAUAGCGGAUAGCGGGAAACAGC
rnacentral:sRNA from 1 species